rnacentral:ncRNA from 1 species
CAAAGGCUUGGUCCUGACUUUACCGUCAGCUUUAACCGGAUUUACACAUGCAAGUUUCCGCACCCCCGUGAGGAUGCCCUCAAUUUCCCACCCGGAAACGAGGAGCCGGCAUCAGGCGCACCCUGUAGCCCAAGACGCCUUGCUAAGCCACACCCCCAAGGGAAUUCAGCAGUGAUAAAUAUUAAGCCAUGGGCGGAAGCCCGACUUAGUUAAGGUUAAACAGGGCCGGUAAAACUCGUGCCAGCCACCGCGGUUAUACGAGAGGCCCGAGUUGACAGACGCCGGCGUAAAGAGUGGUUAGAGGAAAUAGGAACUAGAGCUGAACUUCCCCCCGGCUGUCAUACGCACCCGGAGGAACGGAACCCCACCCACGAAAGUGGCUCUACCUUCACCUGACCCCACGACAACUAGGGAACAAACUGGGAUUAGAUACCCCACUAUGCUUAGCCGUAAACACUGAUACGAAAAUACAACUAGUAUCCGCCCGGGAACUACAAGCGCCAGCUUAAAACCCAAAGGACUUGGCGGUGCCUUACACCCACCUAGAGGAGCCUGUUCUAGAACCGAUAACCCCCGUUCAACCUCACCACCUCUUGUCGUCCCCGCCUAUAUACCGCCGUCGUCAGCUUACCCUGUAAAGGACCCAUAGUAAGCAAAAUGGGCACAGCCCGGAACGUCAGGUCGAGGUGUAGCGUAUGGGGUGGAAAGAAAUGGGCUACAUUUCCUGGACCAGGAUAUCACGGAAGGUGUUAUGAAACCCACACCCUAAGGUGGAUUUAGCAGUAAGAGGGGAGCAGAGCGCCCCCCUGAAGUUGGCUCUGAGGCGCGUACACACCGCCCGUCACUCUCCCCGAGUUCGCCACCAACAGUAAUUAAAAAGUUUCUUGAACUAAGGGGAGGCAAGUCGUAACAUGGUAAGUGUACUGGAAAGUGCACUUGGAAUAAC